rnacentral:tRNA from 1 species
GCGGCUCUAACUCAGUGGUAGAGCGCUUGCCUAGCAAGUAGCAAGUGUAAAGCACUGAGUUCGAUCCUCAGCACCACA